GAUGAACGCUAGCUACAGGCUUAACACAUGCAAGUCGAGGGACCGGCGCACGGUUGAGUAACACGUCUCCACCCUACCCUUUACUCGGGGAUAGCCUUUCGAAAGAAAGAUUAAUACCCGGUAUAAAGGAUGGGGAUGCGUUCAAUUAGGUUGUUGGUGCGGUAACGGCUAACCAAGCCUUCGAUGGAUAGGGGUUCUGAGAGGAAGGUCCUCAAAAUCGGAAAUGAGAUACGGUCCAAACUCCUAGGAGAGGCAGCAGUGAGGAAUAUUGGUAAAGGGGCGCUAGCCGGAACCAGCCAAGUAGCGGGAAGGAGGAAGGCUUAUGGGUCGUAAACGUAUUUUAUAUAAGAAUAUGUAUUAUAUGAAUAAGGAUCGGCUAACUCCGUGCCAGCAGCCGCGGUAAUAC
rnacentral:rRNA from 1 species